UAGAGAUGGAAGGGGGAGGGGGAGGAGGAGGAGUGAAGCAUAUAGUCCUGGCGAAGUUCAAAGAUGAUGUUUCUGAGGAGAAGAUUAAUGAAUUUAUCAAGAAUUAUUCGGAUCUUGUCAAUCUUAUCGAACCCAUGAAGGCUUUCCAAUGGGGAACUGAGUUGAGCGUUUCUAAUAUGGAUCAAGGUUUCAGCCAUGUGUUUGAGUCGAGUUUUGGAAGUGUUCAAGGGCUGAACGAGUUCGUGAGCGAUUCAAAUCACAUUGCGCUUGGGAAAUCUUAUGCCUCCAUCUUUGACAAACUUGUUAUCUUUGACUAUAAACCUCACCAUCAUUUCUUACCCUAAUUAAUAUUGUCCAUCAUAUCAACCACCUAGCUAGGUCUUGGAGC